rnacentral:rRNA from 1 species
GGCCUACGGGAGGCAGCAGUGGGGAAUAUUGCACAAUGGGGGAAACCCUGAUGCAGCGACGCCGCGUGAGUGAAGAAGCGUUUCGGCGCGUAAAGCUCUGUCAGCGGGGAAGAAACACGGUUCGCGAGAGCCGCGGACGGUACCCGACCAAGAAGCCCCGGCUAACUACGUGCCAGCAGCCGCGGUAAUACGUAGGGGGCAAGCGUUAUCCGGAUUUACUGGGUGUAAAGGGAGCGUAGACGGUGAUGCAAGUCAGACGUGAAAGCCCGCGGCUCAACUGCGGGACUGCUUUUGAAACUGUAUGA